UCGUAACAAAUGGAGCCGCCAGGGCUGUCGCUGACCUGAACCCUCAGGUCGUGCACGCCCGAGCGUUCUCUCCUACAUCCGUCUCACCCCAAUGUGCACCACCGCGUGGGUCCCUCCUUCGGCUCGUUCGGAGGGGGGCUUGCGUUUUCACACAAACUUGUAUGCAGUGUAGAAUGUACCUUUGUUUUGCCUUUGCGCAAUUAAUA
rnacentral:misc_RNA from 1 species